rnacentral:rRNA from 1 species
GACGAACGCUGGCGGCGUGCUUAACACAUGCAAGUCGAACGGAAAGGCCCUGCUUUUGUGGGGUGCUCGAGUGGCGAACGGGUGAGUAACACGUGAGUAACCUGCCCUUGACUUUGGGAUAACUUCAGGAAACUGGGGCUAAUACCGGAUAGGAGCUCCUGCUGCAUGGUGGGGUUUGGAAAGUUUCGGCGGUUGGGGAUGGACUCGCGGCUUAUCAGCUUGUUGGUGGGGUAGUGGCUUACCAAGGCUUUGACGGGUAGCCGGCCUGAGAGGGUGACCGGCCAAAUGGGGACUGAGAUACGGCCCAGACUCCUACGGGAGGCAGCAGUGGGGAAAAUGGCACAAUGGGCGGAGGCCUGAUGCAGGAAGGCCGGGUGCGGGAUGACGGCCUUCGGGUUGUAACCCGCUUUGGCAUGUGACGAAGCGUGAGGGAAGGUAAUGGGUAAAGAAACACCGGCUAACUAAGUG